AUAAAGGGUGCUUCCUAUACUCUAUGGGACACUGGGCUAGUCUCAGUGGGGUAUGGCUAUCAAGACAUACCCAGCAUGUAAUCUUUUGAAUGAGGGAAGUUCGGACGACUUGUCGCUGGACGCCCUC